rnacentral:rRNA from 1 species
CCGCUGGAAUUAAGCAUAUCAAUAAGCGGAGGAAAAGAAACUAACAAGGAUUCCCCUAGUAACUGCGAGUGAAGCGGGAAAAGCUCAAAUUUAAAAUCUGGUGGUCUUUGGCCGUCCGAGUUGUAAUUUAGAGAAGCGUCUUCCGCGCUGGACCGUGCACAAGUCUCCUGGAAUGGAGCGUCAUAGAGGGUGAGAAUCCCGUCUUUGGCACGGACACACCAGGGCUUUUGUGAUGCGCUCUCGAAGAGUCGAGUUGUUUGGGAAUGCAGCUCAAAAUGGGUGGUGAACUCCAUCUAAAGCUAAAUAUUGGCGAGAGACCGAUAGCGAACAAGUACCGUGAGGGAAAGAUGAAAAGCACUUUGGAAAGAGAGUGAAACAGUACGUGAAAUUGUUGAAAGGGAAACGCUUGAAGUCAGUCACGUCGACCGAGACUCAGCCUUGCCUUGGCUUGGUGUACUUCUCGGCUGACGGGUCAGCAUCAAUUUUGCCCCUUGGAUAAUGGCGAGGGAAAUGUGACACCUUUACGGUGUGUUAUAGUCUCUCGUCGCAUGCAAGGGUUGGGAUUGAGGAACUCAGCACGCGCCUUUGGGUGUCGGGGCUUUGCCCACGAUACGUGCUUAGGAUGUUGGCAUAAUGGCUUUAAACGACCCGUCUUGAAACACGGACCAAGGAGUCUAACAUGCCUGCGAGUGUUCGGGUGGAAAACCCGUGCGCGCAAUGAAAGUGAAAGUUGGGACCUCUGUCGUGGAGGGCACCGACGCCCGGACCAGACCUUCUGUGACGGCUCUGCGGUAAAGCAUGUAUGUUAGGACCCGAAAGAUGGUGAACUAUGCCUGAAUAGGGUGAAGCCAGAGGAAACUCUGGUGGAGGCUCGUAGCGAUUCUGACGUGCAAAUCGAUCGUCAAAUUUGGGUAUAGGGGCGAAAGACUAAUCGAACCAUCUAGUAGCUGGUUCCUGCCGAAGUCCCCUUCAGGAAAAAAAAAC